GAUUUUUCUUGGCCGGUGGUGUUAGUGCUUAUGGUUUGUUUACCAUUUUCUCUGCUGCAUUUAUUAGCAUGUCAAAUGUUAGUACGACUUCGUCCAUGUAAAUGACUGAGUAUGGACAAAUGUUUUUAUUCUGUAAUUUUGUCUAUACAGUACUGUCUAAAGUUGACAAGUUUAUCCUUUUAGUUGGCAGAAGCAACCGCC
rnacentral:lncRNA from 1 species